rnacentral:rRNA from 1 species
UACGUAGGGUGCGAGCGUUAAUCGGAAUACUGGGCGUAAAGCGUGCGCAGGCGGUGAUGUAAGACAGGUGUGGAAAUCCCCGGGCUUAACCUGGGAACUGCAUUUGUGACUGCAUCGCUGGAGUGCGGCAGAGGGGGAUGGAAUUCCGCGUGUAGCAGUGAAAUGCGUAGAUAUGCGGAGGAACACCGAUGGCGAAGGCAAUCCCCUGGA